rnacentral:rRNA from 1 species
UCGGGUAAGUUCCGACCUGCACGAAUGGCGUAACGACUUCCCCACUGUCUCCAACAGAGACUCAGCGAAAUUGAAUUCUCCGUGAAGAUGCGGAGUACCCGCGGUCAGACGGAAAGACCCCGUGCACCUUUACUACAGCUUCACACUGGUAUUCGUAAUGACAUGUGUAGGAUAGGUGGUAGACGUUGAAGCAUUUGCGCCAGCAGAUGUGGAGUCAUCCUUGAAAUACCACCCUUGUCCUUAUGGAUAUCUAACCGCGGCGCAACAACGUCCGGGACCGUGUGUGGCGGGUAGUUUGACUGGGGCGGUCGCCUCCUAAAGAGUAACGGAGGCUCGCAAAGGUACCCUCAGCAUGGUUGGUAAUCAUGCGAAGAGCGUAUGAGUAUAAGGGUGCUUGACUGGGAGAUCGACAGAUCGAUCAGGUGCGAAAGCAGGCUUAAGUGAUCCGGUGGUUCCGCAUGGAAGGGCCAUCGCUCAAAGGAUAAAAGGUACUCCGGGGAUAACAGGCUGAUCUCCCCCAAGAGCUCAUAUCGACGGGGAGGUUUGGCACCUCGAUGUCGGCUCGUCACAUCCUGGGGCUGGAGAAGGUCCCAAGGGUUGGGCUGUUCGCCCAUUAAAGUGGCACGCGAGCUGGGUUCAGAACGUCGCAAGACAGUUCGGUCUCUAUCUGUUGUGAGCGUUGGAAAAUUGAGAGGACCUAACUUUAGUACGAGAGGACCGAGUUGGACAUACCUCUGGUGUAUCUGUUGUUGUGCCAAUGGCAGUGCAGAGUAGCUACGUAUGGAUGAGAUAAGCGCUGAAAGCAUCUAAGUGCGAAACUCACCUCAAGAUUAGUUUUCCAUUAAGAGUCGUAGAAGACUACUACGUUGAUAGGCUGCAGGUGUAAAGGCAGUAAUGUCAAAGCCGAGCAGUACUAAUUACUCGA